rnacentral:snoRNA from 1 species
AACCCAUGGUGAGGACAUCUCUUAAGCAAAUCAUUAUACCUCUCUCAAGCCUCAUAUAGUUAUUCAAAAUCAAAUUCUGUAAAAAAGGUGAUGUCAUUCUGCCACU